rnacentral:tRNA from 2 species
AGGGUCUGGCCGGGGAUUGAACCCGGGACCUCUCGCAAGCUAUGCUAUAGGGUUUUCCCUAAGCGAGAAUCAUACCACUAGACCACCAGACCC